CACCGGCCGCCGCCCCGUGGCUCCCACACCUCUGAGCCUGCGCAUACUGCUGCAUUUUCCCCUACCCCACCCCCGUCCCUGUCCUCGCCCCAUCCGCCGCUCCCGUGCGUGCGCGCGUGCGCGCGCGAACUAGGCGCCAGGCACUGGGAAAGGACGUCCGCGCUACUUUGUUGCCAUCGCAACGUCAGGCAGGGAGACAAAGCUUCCUGGAGGCUGAUUUGCUUGAUCUUCUGUGUAAGUGGCAGAGCCGAGGAACCACAGGCAUUGAAGUGGAGGGGAUCAAAAUCUUAAUAGAUGGGGAAGCUGAGAGAUAGUCAGCAGCCAAACAAGAUGAAGUUUGGGAGGUCUUCGGUUCCUCAGAUAAUGCCACUGGGCUUCUCCAGUUUUACCUGCCAGAUCUCCGUGGGAAACUGCCAUCGCUAGUCCAAGUGCUAAAGGCAGCAGUAGUCAGUGCCACUCAGCAACGGCACAUGUGGCUUCCCACACUUUAUAUGAGAAGAAAGUUAUUACGAUAAGCUACUAGACAUUGGUUUUGAAGGCAUACACAUGAAGGAAAUAAAGCUGUGGAAAGAAGGACCAGUGAGAUGGCUCAGUGGGGUCCUGGAAGCUUGCAUGGCAGAGAAGAAAAUCUGUUCUGACCUCAUAGUUGCCAUCAGGUACAGCAAGGUUCCUAGACAUAUAAGGUCACCAUGCCUCCAAACAAGAAAUCGAGAAGAUGCUUACUGUGUUGGACAUGAGCGAAUAUCUGACGCAGCCAGACAUGGUGAUGCAGUUUUAAUGCCAGCACUUGGGAGGCAGAAGCAAGCAGUGAGUUCGAAGUCAGCUUGGUCUUGUAAGUACUUGUCUCAGAAGCAAACAAACCUGAUAUAAGCUACUUAAGUGUGGACCUGGGUACCAGAGGCUUUCCACGGAGAUCUCUGGUCCCGCCAGGUGCGAGUGUUCCCGUGAAGGGAAGCCUGUGCAGGCAGGGAGGGGAAGUCGCUUCCACCGCUGCUUCUGCGGUUGGCUCCAUCUCCGUCUCUGCCCUGCCUCUAGGUUACUCCGUUACAGCAGUGCGCUGCCCUGUACUGAGUCCGGUAGGGCUAGGUCAACCAGAGGCUGACUAGCCAGUGAGGAGUGCGGCAGAGCGUCAGGCGGCGUUUCGGAAGAGCAGACCUCUUCCCAAGUGUAUGGCUCUUUGGACAGAAGGCUGGGACCCAGGGGUAGUUCUCGCACCCCUAAUCCUCCCAGAUAGGAUUCUUAUAUACAGUUUUGGGGUGGGUAAGGGUCUGACAACAGGCACUUCUCAUUGGUUUGUCUGAGAGCUUUGGGGAAACCUUAUUUGCAUGUGGAAGGAGGUGACUAAUGGCUACAUACAUCUCUGCAGGGGGCUGUGGGAGGCUGUAGCAGUGACAGGAGCCAGGGGCCCAGGAGGCAUGGUCAAACACCUUCUGUCCUAUGCAGGUGGAAAUCACCACCCACUGGGUCACAGGGGUUCCAAACCUUUGUUCGACCAGGGAUCAGGCUGUCUGUGCACAGCCCACCACCUCACACACUCAAUCAGAGUGGGGGUGAAGUUGAGGAGCAACUUUAUUUCAAGGGAAACAGGAAACGGGGGAUAAAGGAGGGGCCAGGAGAAGGGAGAGCCUUGUGGUAGUUUAAGUGAGAAAUGCUCUCCCCUAGCCUCAGGUCCUCAGGGGACCUCAGGUCCUCACUGGGGAACGGGCAGCCUGGUGGGGGCAGUACGCUGCUGGGGGCACUGGGGAUGGGGCAGUCUGGUGGGGGCAGCCUGGUGGGGGUCGGGUGGGCUGAGAGUUUACAGCUUCGCCUCCCAUUGAGUAUGUUGCACUUUUGGGUAAAGAAGUGAACACCCAGCUUCUUGUUCCUGCUACCAUGCCUGCCGGCCACUUGGACUCUCCCUCUAGAACCAGAAGCCAAAAUAAACUUUCUCCAUUGAGUUAUGUUUGCUCAAGAUAUUUGACUACAGCAACAGAAAACUAAUCAAUACAAACCCAUCCCAAGGACACACCCUAAUGACCUGCUUCCUGUAGGCUUCAACCCCCAUGCUUCACCUCCUCCAAAAGAGUCCAUCAAGUAAUGGCUCCUUCAAGAGAUUAAUCCACUGAUUAGAUCAGAACUCUCAGCAUCCAGUCAAACCCAUGAGCUGGCAGCCAAGGCCCUGGUGGUGCCUGAGGUUCUGAAGGAUGUGCCACACUCAUUUUAUUCAGCAUACAAGGUCAAACUAGUACAUGGAGUAUUGAGACAUCGAACCAAGAGGAAUUAAUAAAACCUUGGCAAUGCCAGGGUGGGACCUAUAGCUGUAGUGCUAGCUCAUUGCUUUGUGUAAGCUAUGGGAUCAAAUUGGCUGUCCAAAACAUAACCAAAAGCACGUUGGGGGUGAAAAGGUUUAUUUGGCUUACACUUCCACAUUGCAGUCCAUCCUUGAAGGAAGUCAGGACAGGAACUCAAACAGGGCAGGAACCUGGAGGCAGAAGCUAAUGCAGAGGCUAUUGAGGUGUGUUGACUACUGGUUUGCUCAUCAUGACUUGGUCAUCUUAUUCUCUUACAGAAUCUAGGACCACUAGCCUAGGGAUGACACCACCCACAAUGGUCUGGGACCUCCUACUAAUAAAAAAAAAUGUCCUACAGCUGGAUCUCAUGAAGUCAUUUUCUCAGUUGAGGUUCCCUCUUUUCAGAUGACUCUAGCUUGUGUCAGACUGAUAUAAAACUAGCCAGGUCAGUGACUGUCUUCAUCCAAGUGAAGACAGUGAAGCAGAAAGGCAAAAUGUUGUCUUAGUUAGGGUUUCUAUUGCUGUAAAGAAACACCAUGACCAAGGCAAUUCUUGUAAAGGAACACAAUUGAGCUGGCUUACAGGUUCAGAGGUUUAGUCCAUUAUCAUCAUGGAGGGAAGCAUGGUGACAUGCAGGCAACAUAGCGCUGGAAAGGAGCUAAGAGUUCUACAUCUGGAUCUACAAGCAACAAGAAGAAAACUAGAACUAAGUUUCUCAGACCGCAAAGCCUGACCCUGUAAUAUCCAAAAUGAAUUCAAGACCACCCAGUACCUUCCCCCUUCAAAAAGGACUUUCCAAACUAACUGUACUAGCAGGCCAAGUGCAGAGCCAGAUAAGGAAGCUGGCUGACUAAACAAUUGUAAAAACAUAGUUUUAGCAGUCAAAAUGACUGAGCCUACAAGCUGCCAAAACAAUAUUAGCUGUUCUCAGAGAAAUAACCAUAACAAGAUUAGCAAUUCUUC
rnacentral:lncRNA from 1 species